CAAAGAAUCCAUGAAAAAAUGCUUAUCCAAAGCAUAGGAGGAUUUCUUUGUUCAAAAAAAAUUUAUAAAAAAAAAAAAACAUAGGCCACAAAUCAAUCUGAGGAGUCUUUGUUGCAAAAGAGGUUCAUGUAAAUCCUCCUCCUAGGCGAUUUUAUCUAUCUAAACGUCGUCCACGUGUGAUAGUUGAAUUGGUAAGCAUAAAAUCAUCC
rnacentral:lncRNA from 1 species